CGGGAUGUAGCGCAGCUUGGCUAGCGCGCCUGCCUUGGGAGCAGGAGGCCGGGGGUUCGAAUCCCUCCAUCCCGA
rnacentral:tRNA from 1 species